rnacentral:rRNA from 1 species
GGGGAAUAUUGGACAAUGGGGGAAACCCUGAUCCAGCCAUGCCGCGUGAGUGAUGAAGGCCUUAGGGUUGUAAAGCUCUUUCGCUAGGGAAGAUAAUGACGGUACCUAGACAAGAAGCCCCGGCUAACUUCGUGCCAGCAGCCGCGGUAAUACGAAGGGGGCUAGCGUUGUUCGGAAUUACUGGGCGUAAAGCGCACGUAGGCGGGCCGGCCAGUCAGGGGUGAAAUCCCAGAGCUUAACUCUGGAACUGCCCUUGAUACUGCCGGUCUUGAGGAUGAGAGAGGUGAGUGGAACUGCGAGUGUAGAGGUGAAAUUCGUAGAUAUUCGCAAGAACACCAGUGGCGAAGGCGGCUCACUGGCUCAUUUCUGACGCUGAGGUGCGAAAGCGUGGGGAGCAAAC